rnacentral:rRNA from 1 species
GGAAUAUUGGACAAUGGGCGCAAGCCUGAUCCAGCCAUGCCGCGUGCAGGAUGACGGUCCUAUGGAUUGUAAACUGCUUUUGUACGAGAAGAAACACUCCUAUGUAUAGGAGCUUGACGGUAUCGUAAGAAUAAGGAUCGGCUAACUCCGUGCCAGCAGCCGCGGUAAUACGGAGGAUCCAAGCGUUAUCCGGAAUCAUUGGGUUUAAAGGGUCCGUAGGCGGUUUAAUAAGUCAGUGGUGAAAGCCCAUCGCUCAACGGUGGAACGGCCAUUGAUACUGUUAGACUUGAAUUAUUAGGAAGUAACUAGAAUAUGUAGUGUAGCGGUGAAAUGCUUAGAGAUUACAUGGAAUACCAAUUGCGAAGGCAGGUUACUACUAAUUGAUUGACGCUGAUGGACGAAAGCGUGGGUAGCGAACAGGAUUAGAUACCCGUG